UAAGUGUGUAGUGAUCUGAUAGGAUGCCU
rnacentral:piRNA from 1 species